UCCCAGUUCGGAUUGCAGGCUGCAACCCGCCUGCAUGAAGUUGGAAUCGCUAGUAAUCGCGGAUCAGCAUGCCGCGGUGAAUACGUUCCCGGGCCUUGUACACACCGCCCGUCACACCAUGAGAGUCGGGAACACCCGAAGUCCGUAGCCUAACCGCAAGGGGGCGCGGCCGAAGGUGGGUUCGAUAAUUGGGGUGAAGUCGUAACAAGGUAGC
rnacentral:rRNA from 1 species